AUGAAAGUUGUUACAUGGUGUUGGGUUUGGCCUUCAUUCAAUCUUCAUAUUAUAUGGUUUGGUAAGAUUUUCCUUUUUUGCAAAUUUGAUUUCUUAAUGGUGUGUACGCCAGCAUCCGUCUCCCACUGGCUGUGUCCCUUGUGCGCUCGCGGACAGCAGCCGGGUCUGCGGGAGACGAGGAAUAUCCCGUGUUUAUUCUGUGGAGCAUUGCAAGCUCUGAACUAUUCAUAUUACCGUGACGAAGCCGCCCCGUCUCAGUUCUUGGCUUUCAGGAUACGUGCCGCCAGCAGUAGCGCAAUCACACUGGCACAGCACCCCGCAUCAUCUAUGCCGAUGCUACUAUGUUCUGCCUCCAUGCUUCGCCGUUGUGAUUCCAUCCGCCGGGAGGUGCACGCACAUAGAUUUCGUCCCCAAUACUGCAUAUGUUAUUUGCUUAUUAUUGGAUCAACUUCAGGUCUACAAUAG
rnacentral:rRNA from 1 species